UGUAGUAGAGUGAUGAUUUAAAUUCUAAUUAUUUGGAAUGAUACUCUAAUUAAAUAUUUAGAUUGGAUAUCCUAAUUAAAUAUUUAGGGUUGGGUAAGAUAGAAAAGAAUUUGACUAUGUUAAUUUACAUGGCCCAAAGAAUUAAAUUUUAAGUCCAAUAUAUUAUUUAUUGAUAGCCCAAAAGAUGGAAAUGGUGGCCCAAAUUUAAGCCCAAUUAAGGAGGGACAUAUUGGACAUUUGGUAUGCUAAAAAAAAAAAAAAAAAAAAGAAAUCAAUUAUUGAUAUGGAAAUGUCCAUUUUACCCUUUUUGUCCCAUCUUGGUGAAUUAUUUCCUAGAGAAUCCUAUGAGCAAUAAUUUAGUUGGUUGAUUGAGUGGUGACUCUAUAUCUCUAGCAAUAAUCAACCCUCAAUCAAUUGCAAUCAAUUUUAUAAAGAUUAGAAAGAGAAAGUUCAUCCAUGGAAGAAGGAAGAAGGAAGAAGGAAGAAGGAAGAAGAAGAAGAAGGAAGGCUUAAGAAAAAGGUAAAUCCUAAAAUUAGUUUAUGCAAUUGAUUUUUAGUUUUCCAAAUCAAAGCUUGGAUUUAUGUUUCUAAACUCAAAAACCUUAGAUAUAUGUGUUAAUGAGUGUUUCAUGUUUAGCUAUAACCAUAUUGGGUGUUGAUUUGGUGAGAAUCAAAGGAAUAGAAAAAAAUGGAAAUUUUCUAGAAAAGUUAAAGUGUUUUGAUAUGGUGUUUUAGAUCAAGUGUUGAACUUAUGAUUUUGAACCAUAAGUUUAAGAUCUUGAACAUGAGAACUAUAGAUCUACAUGAUAAAUGAUAUUUUAUGGCUAGAUCUUGCCAUUUUUAGAGUUGAUAGGCUUGAACAAAGAAGAAUAACCAAAACAGUUUUUUUUGUUUUAAAUGAGUUAGUGGACUGCUGCCCUAAAACAGAAAAUUUCGGAUUUGUUAGAGUGCUCUAAAAAUUCUGGACUUGUGAUAUGUUAUAGUACACUCAAUAAGCUUUCCAUAGACUCUGAAACGGACUAAAUCCGACAUCAGAGGAGGGAGUUAUGGGAUUUCUCCCAAACUACACAAAGUUAAGAAAAUUAUGAAAAGGAUAGUUUUGGAACAGUCACUUCCGGGAUAAAUUCCGGGAGCUAAACAUAUCCAAAUAUGGAUUGUGAUAUAUGAAAACUGUAGUUCGGAAAGAUACGAAUCCAACAAAAUUGACGGAUCAUUAAUCGGAGUUACAGAUUUCGUUUUAUUUAAGUUUUGGUGAAGGACUCCAAAACUGCCAAAGUGCAAAAAGUUUCUGGCCAAAAUUUUCCGAGGGCUGUUUUGGACAUUUAGUUAAUGAGAAAAAUUACAGGCUUUUGGGAAAUGAAAAUAUAUGGUAAUAUGUAGCUCGUGUCCAAAAAUGAGCUAAUUCCGGCUUAAAACGACCAAGUUAUGACCAUUUCAAUUUUUGUGAUUUUCCGACGGAAAUCGCUAUAACCGGAGUUCUACAACUCCGAUUGCCACGAAAUUUAAAAUGGAGCAUCACGUUAACAUAUAUAAGGUUAUGUCAAAAGAUGGGCAUCUCUGGAGUUAAGCACGAGGUAGCUAAUUUUCUUAAGUCACGCACUAAUUAUGAUUUUUGAAAAAUAGUAAAAGAAAUUGAAAAAUUACGGAAAAAUAUUUUUUAUGUAUGAAAUACAUGUAUAUAUGUUUGACCAAAGGAUAAAAAAAUAAUAAGUUGAUUUGGUAUUUUUCGUGAAAAAGAAUAGUGAUUUCGGGAUACUGAAAUAAAAUCCGUCUUACUGAAAUGGUAUUUCGGUUUACUAAGAUGUUAUCUAAUUUACUAGGAUAACAUAUAAAAAUGAAUAACUUAUAAGUAUAAGUUAUGAUGUGAUUAAAAGAAUAUCAAAGUAUAAUAAUAAUAUUAAGACUUAAAACUAAUGUCUAAUACUUAACUAUAUGUUAUGACUAACCGAAAGAUCUAUUAUAGGUUUUAUAUGCUGUAUAGACUGAUAGGAUUAUGUGUUUAAGUUAUUUUAUAACGGUGAUGAUAUUAUUCUAAUAUUGGAGAUCUAUAUUAUUAAUAUUAGGUCUUCAGGAGAAGCGUAUUAUAUUGCGUUACGGUAAUCAACGGUUCAGGCAAGUUUUUCAAGUUCUUUUUACUUAAACUCUUUUAAGAGUGGUUUCAGACAGAUAUGCUUAUGAAUUGUACUCUGUACAUAUUGCAUGUAUUCAUCAGGUAUGAAAGGCUGAUCACCUUCAUUACCAGUCAGUUCAGAUAUAAUUGUUAUGUUCAUUUUCAAUGUUCAUUCAGCUUUGAAAUUUUGUUCAUGCUAAUUCACAACUACAUUGUGAAGGAUAGCCAGCUUAUUAUUCAAACUCUUUCAAUCAUGAUAUAUCUUUACCUUGUUUUUUUUAAACUUGCUGGGCAACUUUCAUGCUCACCCUUGCUAUAUCAUGAUAAAACAUUGCAGAUAAGGCGAAUACGGCCAGAUACAGGAAAAGGAUAAUGCCAAGUUCAGCUUGGGAUAAAAUGUGAAGUUAAGUUGUAAAGUAUGUUGAAGAAUAGUAUUGUCAUGUGUUAGACAGUUCACGAUUGUGUAUUAGUUAAGGUUACUCGAUUUUGGGAAUAGUGUGUAAAGUUUAAUGUAUAAACAAUUUAUGUUUAUAUCUUCC
rnacentral:lncRNA from 1 species